AGUCGAGCGGUACAUUUCUAACUUGCUACUCAUGACAGCGGCGGACAGGUGAGUAAUGCUUGUGAACUGCCUUGUGGUGGGGGACACCACUUGGAAACGACUGCGAUUACCCCAUAUUGUCUACGGAGCCCAGGGGGCUUCUGCUCUCGCCUUUUUAUUGUCCCCCGUGGGAUUAUCUAUUUGGUGAGGUAAUGGCUCUCCCCGGCGACAAUCCCUAUCUGGUUUUAGAGGAUGAUCUCCCCCACUGGGACUGAGACACGGCCCCCACUCCCACAGGAGGCGCCACUGGGGAAUAUUGCGCAAUGGGCGCACGCCUGAUGCACCCCUGCCCCGUGUGUGAAAAAAGCCUUCUGGUUGUAAAGCACUUUCUCUCUCGAGGAAAGGUGUUUAUUUAAUACCUGCGAUCUGUGACAUUACUGACACAAAAAACACCGGCUAACUCCCUGCCCCCACCCCCGGUAAUACAGAGGGUGCGAGCGUUAAUCUCAAUUACUGGGCGUAUAGCGUAUACACGCGGUUUGUUAAACGAGAUGUGAAAGCCCCGGGCUCUCCCUGGGAACUGCAUUUCUAACUGUCGCACUAUAGUGUGAUAUAGGGUGUGAUAAUUUCUCGUGUAUCGGUGAAAUGCGUAUAGAUCUCAAAGAAUACCCAUGGCGAAAG
rnacentral:rRNA from 1 species